UACGAAGGGGGCUAGCGUUGCUCGGAAUCACUGGGCGUAAAGCGCACGUAGGCGGAUUGUUAAGUCAGGGGUGAAAUCCUGGAGCUCAACUCCAGAACUGCCUUUGAUACUGGCGAUCUCGAGUCCGGGAGAGGUGAGUGGAACUGCGAGUGUAGAGGUGAAAUUCGUAGAUAUUCGCAAGAACACCAGUGGCGAAGGCGGCUCACUGGACGACUGUUGACGCUGAGGUACGAAAGCGUGGGGAGCAAACAGG
rnacentral:rRNA from 1 species